rnacentral:rRNA from 1 species
UGCAUAUCAAUAAGCGCGGAGGAAAAGAAACCAACCGGGAUUGCCUCAGUAACGGCGAGUGAAGCGGCAAGAGCUCAAAUUUGAAAUCUGGCCCCGUCGGGGUCCGAGUUGUAAUUUGCAGAGGAUGCUUCGGGUGCGGCCCCUGUCUAAGUGCCCUGGAACGGGCCGUCAGAGAGGGUGAGAAUCCCGUCUGGGAUGGGGUGUCCGCGCCCGUGUGAAGCUCCUUCGACGAGUCGAGUUGUUUGGGAAUA